GAAAAUUGUUGAUCCAGUGAAGAUAGAGAGAUGGGCUGUGGUCAACUUUUCAGCACGCUGCAAUAUGCAAGGGCUUGUGAGGGACCUGAUCAAAUGUGGAAAUAUGAAGGGAAUAGUGAGUUCUUUGACUGCAUAUUGACUUUGGACUAAAGAUUGCAGCUGGCUUAAUGUAAAUGUCUUGUUAUUUACGUGUGGCAGAUGGUAGAAGACCCUUUUGAUGUAUUUGAAGAAAAUCCUCAGUUUAGGCGUGCCCCUCCUGUGGUUAGGGUAGAGAAGAUGUUCGAGCAUAUGAUGUCUAAACUUCCAGGGGCACCCAAGUUUCUUCUUUGUCUGCUUCCUGAGCGGAAAAAUUCUGAUCUUUAUGGUUAGUGAUAUAACUGAACAGAAUAUGGUUAUUUAUUUUACUGUGCAUGUGUUAAGUGCUUGUAUUGAUGAAAUUUUAAUUGGACAUUUCCAGGACCGUGGAAGAAGAAGAAUCUUGCUGACUAUGGUAUUGUUACUCAGUGCAUUGCACCUACCAAGGUCAAUGAUCAGUAUCUGACUAAUGUUUUGCUGAAAAUCAACGCUAAGGUAUACAUACUUUUUAUUUGGAAUAGUAGUUAUUGUCUGUGUGCAGCUGUGUUAUGUCUCGUACCUUCAAAUUUGUAUAAUUUAUGUUUGAAUUCUAUUUUAAUUAUAUCCUCUAAUUUUCUUAGACGUCUCUACCACAAUGAUUAUUACUCCUGGGCCUGUGGUCGACUUCUUAAUUGCUAAUCAAAAUGUGAGAGAUCCCUUUUCACUUGACUGGGCAAAGGUAACUAAAUUCUUUGAUCAUUCCUUAUUGUUCAUGAUUUAUGUUGAAGUCAAAGCAAUAUAAUCCUUUAUUUAUUUCCUUAAACAGGCCAAAAGAACUCUGAAAAAUCUCAGGAUCAAAACUAGCCCAUCCAAUCAGGAGUUCAAGAUUUCUGGGCUCAGUGAACUCCCAUGCAAAGAGCAAAUGUAUUCUUCUAUUUAUUCAGUUAAACCCCUUUGAUAGGGUGACCAAUUAUUAUUUUUCUUCUGUGGUUGUAAUCCUAGAGUUGCUUCUUACAUUAUGAAUAAGGUUCUUAAUGAAGCUGUGGGCAUUGUAGGUUUACUAUGAAGGUCAAAGGGGGAGCUGAUGAUGCUACUGAGGAAGUGACAGUUUAUGACUAUUUUGUUAAACAUAGAAACAUUCAACUUCGAUACUCAGCUGAUCUCCCCUGUAUUAAUGUUGGCAAGCCCAAACGACCAACUUACUUCCCCCUUGAGGUAGUUAAGUUCUCUGUUCUUGUGUGUAUUACUGAAAAUUGAUUGCUACAGGUUGGUUUUAAAGGCUACAUAUUAUUUUAAUAGGAUAUUAAUGUUGUUGCUUCCAUUUGUGUUUUUCCUAGCUUUGCUCCUUGGUGUCUUUGCAACGCUAUACAAAGGCACUUUCCACUCUUCAAAGAGCUUCUUUAGUGGAGAAGUCCAGGCAGAAGCCACAAGAGCGAAUGAGGGUUCUCUCUGAUGUACGUCUUUCCUAAAUUUUGAGUCUAAAGAUUCCAAUUUUAAUAUGACUGUGUUUUAGUGACCUUAUUUUUCUUUGUGUAGGCUCUGAAAAUAAGCAACUAUGGCGCUGAACCCAUGCUACGCAAUUGUGGUGUUCAGAUAAACCCCAGCUUUACUCAAGUGGAUGGCCGUGUUUUGCAAGCUCCAAGGGUAUUUUUUAUUCAUUUGGUUGUUUUUUGUUGUGUAUUGUCAUGUGUUUCCUUUUAAAACAAAAUACUUGUUGGCUUUUCUUGAUGGUACUGAGAAAUGUAUAAAUAUGCUUUUGCAUCUUUGACUGUACUAUAAUUCCAUAGCAAUUUAUUAUUUUCUUUAGUAACUCCUUCUGGAGUUGAAACUAAAUGGCAGCUUUCUCUAUUUGUUUUUUUUAAAGUGUACUCCAACAUGGAAAUUUGUUUGAAAUUCUAUGUUGACCUUGUUAAAUGAAUUUUUUUCAUUAAAUCUCCAUGAACAGUUGAAGUUUGGCAAUGGGGAGGAUUUCAAUCCAAGGAAUGGGAGAUGGAAUUUUAAUAAUAAGGUAAUUAAUUCAAUUCCGAUUCUUUUUGUUGUUGGUAUGAUCCAAUAGAUCAAAAAAUUGAUUAGGAGUUUCUAAUGACUUGUCUGCUUCUGCAGAAAAUUGUUGAUCCAGUGAAGAUAGAGAGAUGGGCUGUGGUCAACUUUUCAGCACGCUGCAAUAUGCAAGGGCUUGUGAGGGACCUGAUCAAAUGUGGAAAUAUGAAGGGAAUAGUGAGUUCUUUGACUGCAUAUUGACUUUGGACUAAAGAUUGCAGCUGGCUUAAUGUAAAUGUCUUGUUAUUUACGUGUGGCAGAUGGUAGAAGACCCUUUUGAUGUAUUUGAAGAAAAUCCUCAGUUUAGGCGUGCCCCUCCUGUGGUUAGGGUAGAGAAGAUGUUCGAGCAUAUGAUGUCUAAACUUCCAGGGGCACCCAAGUUUCUUCUUUGUCUGCUUCCUGAGCGGAAAAAUUCUGAUCUUUAUGGU
rnacentral:lncRNA from 1 species